rnacentral:rRNA from 1 species
CACGUAGGGCGCAAGCGUUGUCCGGAAUUAUUGGGCGUAAAGAGCUCGUAGGCGGACUGUUGCGUCCGCUGUGAAAAGCUGGGGCUUAACCCUGGCCUUGCAGUGGAUACGGGCAGACUAGAGGUAGGUAGGGGAGAAUGGAAUUCCCGGUGUAGCGGUGAAAUGCGCAGAUAUCGGGAAGAACACCCGUGGCGAAGGCGGCUCUCUGGGACGGUACUGACGCUGAGACGCGAAAGCGUGGGGAGCGAACAGGA